AAUAAAGGGUUGUGUUAGACUGCUAUACCUUGAAAUAAUUUCUUAUAAGUCAUUAAUAACUGAAGUAAGCAUUAAUUGAACCUUUAAACAGUUAAACUUACAAUAAUUAUUUUGAAGAUCAUCUUGCCUUAAAAACUUCAAGAUCUUUGAGGGGAUAAUUUGCCAUCUUAGUAUUUAGAAGAACUGUGUUUGUGUCUAUAUGAGGGAGAUCAGAUUAUAAUAGAAGGAUUUGGUAAAAUGAAGAGAAAGUUUUGAAUGGGCUAAACAGGAAUUCAAGGACUUCUUAUAAUACAUUCCAGAGCUCAGCAACUCUUUUUUUAUAUUGCCUGCUGUUUGGGAUUAUAUUCAUCAUUGCUGCCUUCAGUUACAGGGCAAAAUGCUGAAUGGCAGAAGGCUGAAGAAAAGCUAAAAGCUCCGUCCUAUUGAGAAGUUCAUCACAGGGAAGACUCCACUGAAGUAAUCAGAUGCCUUUCCUGCUGCCCUGAGUCUUUAACUGUCCAAAGGGAGUCCUGAACCCAAAGCUGUUUCAGCUGCAUGCGAUUGUUAGGAUCAUUCACUCAUACCUCUUCGUUUAGGAUAGAGAACAAUCAGGCAAAGAAAGGGGAGGACUAACCCAAGGUCAGAUAAUUAGCUAAGGGCAUCAGAACCCACAGUUCAGGGUUGUUAGUACCACAUCAAGCUCCCUUGCAAAUUAGCUUCAUAAAUUCUAAGCCCACAGGCUCAGGGCUCAUCUGAAAGAGAUGGACCAGAGAGGAGGAGAUGGAGAAAAAAGUCUCCUACCACACACUGGAACCACUUUUACAGAAGUGCCUGUUGUCUCCCCUGCACCCCUGCACUCCCAACCCCAACAAUGCCAGGCAGCAAGCUGUUGCAGAAAGGAAGCAGGCUGCUGCCCCUGCAGUGUUCAGGCCUCCUCCUGGCAGGGCUCCCUCUACCUGAAUCCAUCUCAGGGAAAUGGUCAUCUCUGACUAUGCUGCACAGAGCCUGCAAAGCUAUGUUAAUAAUCUCUCUGGGCCUUAAACUGAAUAACCAAGAUUUCGCACAUGUACCAUUCACUUCCCACUUAAUAUGCACACUCAAUUUACACAGGAAGUAUGCCUAAGGCUCUUUCAAUGACUGUAUGUGACUACACAUAGGGUUUUUCUUUUAUAACAGAUUGGCAAAUGCCUGAGGUGGUAUGAGUGUGAUGUUGCUGGAAAACCUUAGUUGAAAUUCCUAGACUAUAUGAAAUCCUUUUUAAAUCUCCUUAUUCUGAAAACAUAUUUUUUUAAAAAAAAUUUAGACCACUCAUGGGAUUUAAAGUAAAAAGUACAAAUAUACUGUAUUUCGUGACUAUAAUCAAACUGGAGACAUUAUGCAAACAUAGAGCUCUUAUAUUUUCAUUCUUCUACUUUAGGUCGCAAUUGUCUAUCUCUGCAUUAUGUGCAAACCAAAAUGAGAACUGCAGGAAUAAAACACAUGGUUGUGUCCACGUUCUGAAUGUUCAA
rnacentral:lncRNA from 1 species